rnacentral:rRNA from 1 species
GACGAACGCUGGCGGCGUGCUUAGCACAUGCAAGUCGAACGCUGAAGCUUGGUGCUUGCACUGGGUGGAUGAGUGGCGAACGGGUGAGUAAUACGUGAGUAACCUGCCCUUGACUCUGGGAUAAGCCUGGGAAACUGGGUCUAAUACUGGAUACGACAUGCCACUGCAUGGUGGUGUGUGGAAAGGGUUUUACUGGUUUUGGAUGGGCUCACGGCCUAUCAGCUUGUUGGUGGGGUAAUGGCCUACCAAGGCGACGACGGGUAGCCGGCCUGAGAGGGUGACCGGCCACACUGGGACUGAGACACGGCCCAGACUCCUACGGGAGGCAGCAGUGGGGAAUAUUGCACAAUGGGCGGAAGCCUGAUGCAGCGACGCCGCGUGAGGGAUGACGGCCUUCGGGUUGUAAACCUCUUUCAGCACGGAAGAAGCGAGAGUGACGGUACGUGCAGAAGAAGCGCCGGCUAACUACGUG